rnacentral:lncRNA from 1 species
GAAGAAACGCAGCAGAGGGCAAAGGGCGAGGUCCAACGGCCCAGCCCCAGCAGGGGACUCUCGAGCUUCGGGAUUCCGCCUACCCGGCCACCACCUCCUUCAUGCUCCUCUGUGAUCACCUCUCCAAGUCCCGGUGUCAGGAGCCUUCUCUGUGGCCGCCCUGGAGAGACUUGAGCCUGGGACGUGACGUGCUGGGCUGUGAAGCUUUCUGAGAAGGGAAACCUGUGGCCUGACCUGCCUGAAUGCUGCACCCAACCUCAUCUCUUCCUGGGAGGCAGGCUCUCUUCGCUUGUUUUUACAAAUUUGAAACCAACAACUGUCAGCAUUGACACCAUCAGGCCUUUCUCUUCUAAUUUAACCUUGCAGCCAACCACACGGCUAUCUGUGCGGGAUCUCUCCCCAAGCUCAAGGACAUGAGAUGCGGAUCAGGCCCAAGAGGCUGGAUGCCAAACCUAUCCUCUCCAUGUGAAGCACCAACUUGGGGGUGUCAACUAAAAAUAUGAGACCCGUAAACUUGGAAAGGAAGACUUUAUUUCUUGAGAAGGGUUGCAAACUGCAGGCUGGGAAGUGGCACCUCCAGCUGAGACCACAAACAGUGGACUUUCUCAAACUGGGGUAUUGACCUCUGAUGAACCGCCAUGCAAACCCGUGCCUUUCAACAUAAAAAGAAGCCCUUCGAGGUGCUCACCUUCAAGCUUGCUAGAGGAGGAGGAAGAGCAGGUUGAGUUUGACAUAACUAGAAUGGGUUGAGCCUUUCCAGCAGAGUAAGGUUCUUUCAUGGUGGACAGUGGCCACCCACUGCCAUUUCUACAAGAAGAUUUUGCUUCUUAGGCACUGAGUUCCUGGUUCUUUCACUAGAGAAAAAUGAGUAGGUUGGCAAUCCAGUACUUCCAUCUUCUGUGAAGACCUGGGCAGGCAACGGGGGCUUGGGGGCGGGGGCAGGGACCAAAGACAAGGCUGCCAUUUGCUGUGCCCACCACAGAGGGACAUUUACUCCACCUGAAGCACAAGUAUUUUCUCAGUGAUGUUGGCUCCUACAAAGUCAAAAGGGGUAGGCUCCCUGGCUUACGCUCCAGGAGUUUGGACUGAAAGGGACACUAAAAGUGUCUUCCUCUAAGUUUAUGAUGUUGCCCUCCUCUGGCUACAACAGUGCUCUGGCCAUAAGCA